AUUGGCCAUCUAGUUGGUCAUAUAUUUGGAAACAUUAAUUUAUAGAACACUUUUUGUCUUAAUUCUGUGCCUCUUACAUGACAAAAAAUCAUUUUCAGAGGCAAGUAUCUCAUAAUAAAUAAUGAUUAAAAAUAUAUUUUAUAGACCCAUCUCUAAGUAAAACAAGCCAAUUUAUUAUGAAAUUAUUGAAUUAUUGAAAACUAGCAUUGCCUCUUAGAAAAAAAAUAAAAUAUUGAAAAAGCAAAAAUUCUAAUUUCUCACUGAAUAUACCUCCAAUAGAGUUUCUUCCACUAGAACCAGAGCUUCUUCUGGAAUGACACUUUUCUUUCUUUCUUUCUUUCUUUUUUUUAACAGAAUGUGGGAGAAGUUAUGACAUAUGAGACUUUAUUUAUUUUUUUUAUUUAUGAUAGUCACACAGAGAGAGAGGCAGAAACACAGGCAGAGGGAGAAGCAGGCUCCAUGCACCAGGAGCCCGACGUGGGAUUCGAUUCCGGGUCUCCAAGAUCGCGCCCCGGGCCAAGGGCAGGCGCCAAACCGCUGCGCCACCCAGGGAUCCCUGGAAUGACACUUUUCUAUUCAUUAUGUGUUACUAAUACCAGACCAAAGAUUCCUUAUCAAAGACCUUGUGCAAUGCGAUGAUGUCACCCAUCCAGUUUCACCGACAGCCUACUGAGGAGCCCAUGGGAGUACAGAAUCUCUUCACAAGAGAGCUUGGUAUCCCUUGGCUGCAGAAGAAAUGUUCACAAAUACUACAAGCAGUUGAACCAAGGAGAACAAAAUUGGUAAGUGCCAAAUGUGGGUUAGUUCUAGAACUAACCAUUACUCAAGUAUUGACUUCAUCCUGCAAGGUAUCUCUCAGUCAAUUCUAUUUAUUAGCAAAUUUGCUGUAUGUUCCCACAGCAUCUGUGACUACUUGCAACUCUGACAUUCAUCACAACUUGGAAUUUCUGGUCUAAUGUGGAUCUUUCUUGCUGAAGCAUCUCCAUGAAGCUGGAGAAAAUAUGAUCUAAUUCAUCUUUGUGUCCUGACGAUAGAGCCUGGAAGAGGGUAGAGGCUGAAGAAAAUUUUAUAUAAAAGUGAAAUUGAAUGAUGAAUGAGUUUCCAGAGCUUAUGUGGGAACAUAGGCAUGGCUACUAAUUAUGCAAUGUCUUACUGGAAGAUGAGCUCCAUGUAACCCAGCUUCUAGAAUAGGACCUGGUACAUAAUAUGUACUUAUAAUACUUAGUGAAUGAAUGAAUGAAUGAGCAAGCAUGAGACAUAAGAAAAUAUUGUCAAUAUUAGAAAAUUUAAUCCCAGGCUAUGAGGCAAGAGAUAAAGCAUCAUAUCUUAGAUAAAAGGUAAGUUCCUUAUCUUCUGCUAUCCUAGCAAUACUAUAAUUACUUCCAUUUAUUCAUGAAUACAUAGGUAAGGAAAUAUUCUUGGACAUUCAUGCUAGCCUGGAAUUCAUAUUACUCUUAUAAAUGUCCCUUAAGAAAAAUACCUCUUUUCAUGCAUAAGAUAAUAAUAUGGUCGAGCAAUUAUAUUAUUGACUUGAACUGCUAUUCUUGGGAGCACCAUGCAAUGAAGAGGCAAGAAUGGGAAAUCUCCAGAUAGUUUUGGCACUGAGGGAGGUGUGAAAAUCUCUGGUUGUAGUAAUGAUGGUCCUUCUAAUCCUCAACUUUGAAAAAAAAAAUUGCUUAUUGAUGAAUGGAAGUAGGUACAAAGUAUGUAUUCUCUUUUCUGUUUCCCUUUAAAAAUUUUUUUUAUUGAAAUAUAAUUAACAUUUAAAGCAUACAAUUUGAAGUCCCAACACAGGUACACGUCUACGAAACUGUCAUCAAAAUCCAGAUAAUGCAUAUAUCAUCACCCAAAAUGUUUCCUGUACCCCUUAAUAAUCUGUCUUUCUGCUCCAUCCCCUCAUCCCCAACCAACCAGUGGCUUGCUGUCAUUAUCAAUGAUUUUGCAUUUUCUUUCAUGCAGUAUAAUUAUUUUGAGAUUCCUCAAUAAUUCCUCAAUAAUUUGCAUAUUGUUUUAUGCAUCAAGAGUUCAUUUCUUUCCUUUGUAUUACUAAGUAGUAUUUAUAUAGACAUACAGCAAUUUGUGUGUACCUGUUGGUGAACAUUUGGUUUUAUUCUGAUUUGGGCCAUUAUAAGUAAAGCAGCUGUGAACAUUUGUGUCCUAGUUUGUUUGGUUAGACAUAUGCUUUCAUUUCUUUUGAGUAAAUAGGUAGGACUGGUCUACAUUGUUAAAUCUCUGUUUACAUUUUAAGAAACCGCCACAGGCUACCAGUGGCUCAGUUGAUUGAUCAACUCUUGAUUUCAGCCAUGUGGGGCUCCUCGUUCAGCAGAGUCUGCUUGAGGAUUCUCUUUCUCCCUCUCUCUCUCCUCUUCCCUGCAUUAACUCUUUUUUUCUUUCUCUAAAAUAAAUAAAUUGUAAAAAAGAAAAAAAAAAAAGAA
rnacentral:lncRNA from 12 species